GUUAGCCAGCUCAACGUUUUUUUUCACGAAAUUGGACGGUAGGGACGAAUGUCAAAACAUUUCGUUCAUACAGGGGUUGUCUCACAACAAAAAAACUUACAAGGACGAAAACCAAAAUCUCGCGAACUUACAGGGACCUUUUACCUAUUUAAGUCAAAAAAAAAAAAAAUCCAUUUACUAUCACGAAAGGUAAAAUAUUAAUGAUUUUCCUUUUGAAGAAAAAAAUGAUUAAAAUUUAGUAAGUGAUACUUCCUCUAGU
rnacentral:lncRNA from 1 species